rnacentral:rRNA from 1 species
AAUGAACGCUGGCGGCGCGCCUAAUACAUGCAAGUCGAGCGAGAAGACGUAGCAAUACGUUUGUAAAGCGGCGAACGGGUGAGGAAUACAUGGGUAACCUACCCUAGAGUGGGGAAUAACUAGCCGAAAGGUUAGCUAAUACCGCGUACGCUCCUUGGACUUCGGUUCAGGGAGGAAAGCGAUGCCGAGGGUAUCGCGCUCUUGGAUGGGCUCAUGUCCUAUCAGCUUGNGGUGAGGUAACGGCUCACCAAGGCUUCGACGGGUAGCUGGUCUGAGAGGACGAUCAGCCACACUGGCACUGCGACACGGGCCAGA